UACGUAGGGACCGAGCGUUGUCCGGAUUUAUUGGGCGUAAAGAGCUCGUAGGCGGUUCGGUAAGUCGGGUGUGAAAACCCCAGGCUCAACCUGGGGACGCCACUCGAUACUGCUGUGACUUGAGUUCGGUAGGGGAGCACGGAAUUCCUGGUGUAGCGGUGAAAUGCGCAGAUAUCAGGAGGAACACCGGUGGCGAAGGCGGUGCUCUGGGCCGAAACUGACGCUGAGGAGCGAAAGCGUGGGUAGCAAACAGG
rnacentral:rRNA from 1 species